rnacentral:misc_RNA from 1 species
AUAAUGGAGGAUCUUGGCCAGUGCUUUUAUGGCUGCUAACUGCUGCAUGCAUCAAAACUGGACGACCGCAAAUUGCAAGACGUGCAAUUGAUCUUGCUGAGACCCGUCUGCUGAAAGAUAGCUGGCCUGAAUAUUACGAUGGGAAACUUGGGAAAUUUAUCGGUAAACAGGCAAGGAAAUACCAGACGUGGUCGAUUGCUGGGUACUUGGUGGCAAAGAUGAUGCUGGAGGAUCCUUCACAUUUGGGAAUGAUUUCCCUGGAAGAGGACAAACAAAUGAAGCCAGUGAUUAAGAGAUCUUCUUCUUGGACUUGCUGAUGAAGAGAGGCAAACAAACAAGCAAGCAAGCAGGAUAAGUAGCAGAAAAAAUAGUAGGAAAAGAAAACGUAAAGUGAGAAAUGUUUGGUUUCGUUAUACAGCAUUAUUCUUUGCCGUUUGUUGUUGUAGGUCUGAUUUGAAAGUGUGGUUGUGUACAAUAGCUUCUGCUAAGAACUACUGUCUUGCUUUUCAAAUAAGAGAAACAUCUGAAUGGCAAUUUGGAAAUGCCAUCCUUAGUUUAUGUUAGCUUUUGACAGCAAAAAUGGAAUAAGAUUUAUCUUCAUCGCCGAGGG